rnacentral:rRNA from 1 species
AAUGGCUGCAGUAAUUUGACUGUACAAAGGUAGCAUAAUCAUUAGUUUUUUAAUUAAAAGCUUGUAUGAAAGGUUGGACGAAAUAAAAUCUGUCUCUUUUUAAUAUAAUUAGAAUUUAAUAUUUAAGUUAAAAAGCUUAAAUAGAUUUAAAAGACGAGAAGACCCUAUAGAGUUUAAUAAUUUUUUUUUAUUAAUUAAUUUAGAUUUAUUUAUUUUAUUUUAAGAAAAUUAUUUUAUUGGGGUAAUAGAAAGAUUUAAAUAAUUCUUUUUUAAUUAAAUCAUUAAUUUAUGAAAAUUUAUGAUCCAUUGAAUUUUGAUUAUAAGAUUAAAUUACCUUAGGGAUAACAGCGUAAUUUUUUUUAAGAGUUCAUAUCGAUAAAAAAGUUUGCGACCUCGAUGUUGGAUUAAAGAUUAGUUUAGGUGUAGAAGUUUAAAUUUUUGGUCUGUUCGACCAUUGAAUCUUUACAUGAUCUGAGUUCAAACCGGUGUAAGCCAGGUUGGUUUCUAUCUUUAAAAAGAUUUGAUAUUUUAGUACGAAAGGACCAAAUAUUAUAUAUAUAAAUAUUUAAAUAUUGAAUAUU